GGGAUGUUAGCUCAGCUGGUUCAGAGCACCUGCCUUACAAGCAGGGGGUCACUGGUUCGAAUCCAGUACGUCCCACAA
rnacentral:tRNA from 1 species